GGGAGUGUGCUCAGCUCCCACCUAUAGCAUGGCAGGUUGGGUGUAGUGACCCUAAGCGAUGAGUCGAGUAUCUACACGAGCUUCAUGGUGAACCUAGCUGAUGAGUUGGGGGAUUUGUGAUACUUAUGGAUUGUUAUUAUGAUUAUGUGUGAGGCUAUACAAUGAACCCAGUCGAUGAGGUGGGGGAUUUGUAGGAGCUAGGUACUUGGUUGAAGAUGAUUCGAGGGUAUGGGUGGUCUACCUAGUCGGCGACGAGUUGAGGGUGUCCAUGGGCCUAUACACCACCUUGCGAUGAGCAAGGGGCAUGAGGCGAUUGAUUGAGGCCAUGCCUAGGCAUGUUAUAACGAGUGGAUGUGGGUGACUAAACCUCUAUGAUAGGGAUUGCACAUAUUACUCAUUGUACAAUGCAACAUUAUGAUUGUGGU
rnacentral:lncRNA from 1 species